rnacentral:rRNA from 1 species
CCUACGGGAGGCAGCAGUGGGGGAUAUUGCACAAUGGGGGAAACCCUGAUGCAGCGACGCCGCGUGUGGGAAGACGGUCCUCUGGAUUGUAAACCACUGUCCUCAGGGACGAAGAUGACGGUACCUGGGGAGGAAGCUCCGGCUAACUACGUGCCAGCAGCCGCGGUAAUACGUAGGGAGCGAGCGUUGUCCGGAAUUACUGGGUGUAAGGGGAGCGUAGGCGGGACUGCAAGUUGGGUGUCAAAUCUACCGGCUCAACCGGUAGCCGCACUCAAAACUGCAGUUCUUGAGUGAAGUAGAGGCAGGCGGAAUUCCUAGUGUAGCGGUGAAAUGCGUAGAUAUUAGGAGGAACACCAGUGGCGAAGGCGGCCUGCUGGGCUUUUACUGACGCUGAGGCUCGAAAGUGUGGGGAGCAAACAGGAUUAGAUACCCUUGUAGUC